rnacentral:rRNA from 1 species
UAGUAACGGCGAGUGAAGCGGGAACAGCUCAAAUUUGAAAUCUGGCCCUUGGGUCCGAGUUGUAAUUUGCAGAGGAUGCUUUUGGUGCGGUGCCUUCCGAGUUCCCUGGAACGGGACGCCUUAGAGGGUGAGAGCCCCGUACGGUUGGACACCAAGCCUAUGUAAAGCUCCUUCGACGAGUCGAGUAGUUUGGGAAUGCUGCUCAAAAUGGGAGGUAUAUUUCUUCUAAAGCUAAAUAUUGGCCAGAGACCGAUAGCGCACAAGUAGAGUGAUCGAAAGAUGAAAAGCACUUUGAAAAGAGGGUUAAAUAGCACGUGAAAUUGUUGAAAGGGAAGGAUUUAUGACCAGACUUUUUCUGGGGGGAUCAUCCGGUGUUCUCACCGGUGCACUUCCCCCAGUUGAGGCCAGCAUCGGUUUCUGUCGAGGGAUAAAAGCUUUAGGAAUGUGGCUCUCUCCGGGGAGUGUUAUAGCCUGUUGCAUAAUACCUUGACGGGGACCGAGGUUCGCGCAUUGCAAGGAUGCUGGCGUAAUGGUUAUUAAUCACCCGU